rnacentral:rRNA from 1 species
AGAACGAACGCUGGCGGCAUGCCUAAUACAUGCAAGUCGAACGAACUCUUCGGAGUUAGUGGCGCACGGGUGCGUAACGCGUGGGAAUCUGCCCCUUGGUUCGGAAUAACAGUUGGAAACGACUGCUAAUACCGGAUGAUGACGAAAGUCCAAAGAUUUAUCGCCAAGGGAUGAGCCCGCGUAGGAUUAGCUAGUUGGUGAGGUAAAGGCUCACCAAGGCAACGAUCCUUAGCUGGUCUGAGAGGAUGAUCAGCCACACUGGGACUGAGACACGGCCCAG